rnacentral:rRNA from 1 species
UACAGAGGUCUCAAGCGUUGUUCGGAUUCAUUGGGCGUAAAGGGUGCGUAGGCGGCGCGGUAAGUCGGGUGUGAAAUCUUGGAGCUUAACUCCGAAACUGCAUUCGAUACUGCCGUGCUUGAGGACUGGAGAGGAGACUGGAAUUUACGGUGUAGCGGUGAAAUGCGUAGAUAUCGUAAGGAAGACCAGUGGCGAAGGCGGCGCUCUGGGCCGGUACUGACGCUGAGGAGCGAAAGCGUGGGUAGCAAACAGG